GAUGAACGCUGGCGGCGUGCCUAAUACAUGCAAGUCGAGCGAACGGACGAGAAGCUUGCUUCUCUGAUGUUAGCGGCGGACGGGUGAGUAACACGUGGAUAACCUACCUAUAAGACUGGGAUAACUUCGGGAAACCGGAGCUAAUACCGGAUGAUAUUUUGAACCGCAUGGUUCAAAAGUGAAAGACGGUCUUGCUGUCACUUAUAGAUGGAUCCGCGCUGCAUUAGCUAGUUGGUAAGGUAACGGCUUACCAAGGCAACGAUGCAUAGCCGACCUGAGAGGGGGAACAGCCAAAAUGGAAAUGAGAAAAGGGCCAGAAACCUAAGGGAGGGAGAAGGGGGGAAAAUUGCAAAAAGGGGGGAAGGCUGAAGGAGACAACGCGGGGGGGGGAAGAAGGGUUUUGGGGUCGAAAAACUUUUUUAUGGGGAAAAAAAAAAGGUGGAAAAAACUGGGAAGAUUUGAAGGGAACCAAAUAAAAAGGACAGGCUAAACUAGGU
rnacentral:rRNA from 1 species